ACCAACAGGGAUUGCCCUAGUAACGGCGAGUGAAGCGGCAACAGCUCAAAUUUGAAAUCUGUCCCCCUUGGGGGUCCGAGUUGUAAUUUGUAGAGGGUGCUUUGGCGUUGGCCCUGGCCUAAGUUCCUUGGAACAGGACGUCACAGAGGGUGAGAACCCCGUACGUGGCCGCCGGUCUUCGCCGUGUAAAGCCCCUUCGACGAGUCGAGUUGUUUGGGAAUGCAGCUCUAAAUGGGAGGUAAAUUUCUUCUAAAGCUAAAUAUUGGCCAGAGACCGAUAGCGCACAAGUAGAGUGAUCGAAAGAUGAAAAGCACUUUGGAAAGAGAGUCAAAAAGCACGUGAAAUUGUUGAAAGGGAAGCGCUUGCAGCCAGACUUGCCUGUAGUUGCUCAUCCGGGCUUUUUGCCCGGUGCACUCUUCUGCGGGCAGGCCAGCAUCAGUCCAGGCGGUCGGAUAAAGGCCUUGGGAAUGUGGCUCCCUUCGGGGAGUGUUAUAGCCCAGGGUGUAAUGCGGCCAGCUUGGACUGAGGUCCGCGCAUCUGCUAGGAUGCUGGCGUAAUGGCUGUAAGCGGCCCGUCUUGAAACACGGACCAAGGAGUCUAACAUCUAUGCGAGUGUUUGGGUGUCAAGCCCGAGCGCGCAAUGAAAGUGAACGGAGGUGGGAACCCCUCGGGGCGCACCAUCGACCGAUCCUGAUGUCUUCGGAUGGAUUUGAGUAAGAGCAUAGCUGUUGGGACCCGAAAGAUGGUGAACUAUGCCUGAAUAGGGUGAAGCCAGAGGAAACUCUGGUGGAGGCUCGCAGCGGUUCUGACGUGCAAAUCGAUCGUCAAAUUUGGGCAUAGGGGCGAAAGACUAAUCGAACU
rnacentral:rRNA from 1 species